rnacentral:rRNA from 1 species
GUACACACCGCCCGUCACACCAUGGGAGUGGGUUGCAAAAGAAGUAGGUAGCUUAACCUUCGGGAGGGCGCUUACCACUUUGUGAUUCAUGACUGGGGUGAAGUCGUAACAAGGUAACCGUAGGGGAACCUGCGGUUGGAUCACCUCCUUACCUUAAAGAAGCGUACUUUGCAGUGCUCACACAGAUUGUCUGAUGAAAAUGAGC